UGCGCAGGCGGUUGUGUAAGACAGGUGUGAAAUCCCCGAGCUUAACUUGGGAAUUGCACUUGUGACUGCACGGCUAGAGUGCGGCAGAGGGGGAUGGAAUUCCGCGUGUAGCAGUGAAAUGCGUAGAUAUGCGGAGGAACACCAAUGGCGAAGGCAAUCCCCUGGGCCUGCACUGACGCUCAUGCACGAAAGCGUGGGGAGCAAACA
rnacentral:rRNA from 1 species